rnacentral:sRNA from 1 species
AUUGAUUCAUUUAAUCUGCAUAUUGGGGGUGUGAAUAGUAAAAAAAUCACAGUUGAAAAUGCCUUUUAUCAACCAUAGAGCGUAGAGGCAUUUGUGUGUGUAACCCCGGAUAACAUUCAUGUGCACCUAAAGUGUGACAGCUUAUGGGAAACCAAGGGAAGGGUCACCUGUAGAGGUCCGGACAUUCGGUUUUGCCUUUAAAACAACUAUUAGAUCCUAAGUGAGUGUGUGGUGGGUGAGUUAAAAUGUGCCUGUUUACUUGCAGAGCUUCUUCCAUUAGGUGAACAAUCUGCUGUGAUUUUAAUGUGUAAGACCUUUGGUAAUGUGAGGAAUUGAUUAGAUAGUGCAGCCCAGUCUCUAGAGGAUCAGAUCUGUGGGAUUGGUUGGGGUGGUUGGGCAAAGUCCAUGGUGAGUUAAGAAAUGACUUUGAAAGUGACUCUAAUGUGUACACAAACAACACACAUGCACACACCACACAUACAUACACACACGAACACAUACCUCCAUGCUGCAUAUACACACACAGGCAUACACACUAAUGUGUACACAAACACACAUGCACAUACCACACAUACAUACACACACACACGAACACAUACCUCCAUGCCACACAGACACACACAGGCAUACACAUACUCUAAUGUGUACACAACACACAUGCGCACACCACACAUGAACUCACACAUCCAUGCCACAUAUACACACACAGGCAUACACACCCCCACAACACAUAUGCAGGCACAUAUACUACACACACACACACACACACAGGCACAGUUGCAUAUAAACACACAAAUGUACACACCCCCACACCACAUAUGCACAUACACAUAUACACACCACACAUAUUCAUAGUCACAUACACAAGCACACGUGUGUAUACAAUUAUUAAUAUAGUCUUAAAGUCAUUCUGUUGGUUAAGAAAAUAUUUCCUGAACACCUGUUUGCUGAAUUUUAAAGACUGUCCAUUUAAUUUGCUUAGACCUUAGAUAACAAGUUAGGCUAAAAGUACUAUGUCCAUCAACUCUGAAAGUUCUGUAUGUUUAUGUAUGGGGACCAGUUAAUCAAUGUAUUUAUUUUUGAUGUUUUAGAUAUUGGCAAAACACUUGAAUGAUGGUAAAAUCAAUCAGCUUCCUCUUUUCCUUGGAGAGCCUGCUAUGGAAUUUCUCUGGGAUUUCCUGAACCAUCAGGAGGGUCCCCGCAUAAGAGAUCAUUUAAGCCACGGGGAGAUCAACUUACAUGAAUUUUCAAAAGAAACAACUAAUCAGUUGCUUGCAUUUUCUCUUGUACUGCUGCUCAGAUUCGUUGAUGACAGUCUGCUAUCAGUUUUUAAGGAAAAAGCAGCCGUAGAAUUGUUGAUUAGUCUUGCAGAAGGCUAUAGUUCUCGCUGUCAUCCGGUUUUUCAGCUUAAAAAACAGGUGCUGAGCUGUGAGGAGAGCAUCAGGGUUUGGGCUCUGCUGCCUUUCCCCGAAGAACUCACUCGGGAAGCCGUCAGAUUAGAAGAUAAUUCUGAAACAAAUGCCUGCCACUCUUUGAUUACAAAAAUGAUGGAUGAGCUGUAUCACCAUAUGCCUGAGAAUCAUUGUGUGUUAAAGGACUUGGAUCGUCUUCCUACUGAGAUGUGGCCCCAGCUUCUCCGUGAGCUCUGCAGCACACCUGUUCCCACCCUGUUCUGCCCCAGGAUUGUGCUGGAAGUGCUGGUUGUGCUCCGAAGCAUCGGCAAACAGUGCCGCCGUGUGUCCAGCCAGGUCACCGUUGCCUCGGAGCUGAGACACAGGCAGUGGGUGGAAAGGACGCUGCGGUCUCGCCAGCGGCAGAACUACCUGCGUAUGUGGAGUAGUAUCAGACUACUGUCCCCUGUGCUCAGCCUGAUACUGUUACUCAUUGUGCUGGAGUUGGUCAACAUUCAUGCUGUUUGUGGGAAGAAUGCGCAUGAGUAUCAGCAGUACCUAAAGUUUGUAAAGUCGAUCUUGCAGUACACGGAGAACCUGGUGGCUUACACCAGUUACGAAAAGAACAAGUGGAAUGAAACUAUCAAUCUUACACAUACAGCGUUGUUGAAAAUGUGGACUUUUAGUGAGAAGAAACAAAUGUUAAUACAUUUAGCCAAGAAAUCCACAAGUAAAGUACUCUUAUGAAAACUUGUAAGUCAGGAUGCUUUUAAUUUUAACAGAUUUUAACAGCGUGUAAAUUAAAAACCCAAAGACAG